UCCGUAGCCAAGUGGUAAGGCAUGGGACUGCAACUCCCUGAUCGCUGGUUCAAAUCCGGUCGGG
rnacentral:tRNA from 1 species